rnacentral:rRNA from 1 species
UAGGGAAUCUUCGGCAAUGGACGAAAGUCUGACCGAGCAACGCCGCGUGAGUGAAGAAGGUUUUCGGAUCGUAAAACUCUGUUGUUAGAGAAGAACAAGGACGUUAGUAACUGAACGUCCCCUGACGGUAUCUAACCAGAAAGCCACGGCUAACUACGUGCCAGCAGCCGCGGUAAUACGUAGGUGGCAAGCGUUGUCCGGAUUUAUUGGGCGUAAAGCGCACGCAGGCGGUUGAUUGAGUCAGAUGUGAAAUCCCCGGGCUUAACCCGGGAAUUGCAUCUGAUACUGGUCAGCUAGAGUCUUGUAGAGGGGGGUAGAAUUCCAUGUGUAGCGGUGAAAUGCGUAGAGAUGUGGAGGAAUACCGGUGGCGAAGGCGGCCCCCUGGACAAAGACUGACGCUCAGGUGCGAAAGCGUGGGGAGCAAACAGG